rnacentral:rRNA from 1 species
CCCUUAGAUGUUCUGGGCUGCACACGUGCUACACUGGCAGGUUCAGCGAGCUUCAUGCCCUGAUCUGAAAGGAAUGGGAAAUCUUUUCAAAACCUGCCGUGCUUGGGAUAGAUGUUUGCAAUUAUUCAUCUUCAACGAGGAUUGCCUUGUAAGCGCACGUCAUCAGCGUGCAUUGAAUACGACCCUGUAUUCUGUACACACCGCCCGUCGCUCCUACCGAUUGAAGUUUUCGGUGAGUUGACAGGAGGAUUUUUUUGAAACUGGUUCGCCAGUGGAUUUUAGAUCCAAAUGCCAACGAAUCGAGGGAUUUAGAGGAAGGAGAAGUCGUAACA